GGAAGCGUUUCAGUCUGUUUGGGGAAGACAGCGCAGGGGCCUUGGCAGUGGUACCUGAGCCCAGCCCUGUGACCCCAGAGUCUCCGUCCUCAGCGUCCACAGUGUCGACAGCGUCCACAGUGCCAGAGCCUUCAAGAGCUGGUGUGAACGUUCAGGCUCGAAUCAAAGGCUGGUCUGUGGAGAGAGCAGGGGAGGAGAAGCCAGAGGUCUGGAGAAGGGCCUCCCAGGCUCGGCCGUUGCCUGCGGAUUUGACCAAACCGUUCUCGAGGUCGGCUUCGAGCAGUGAGAUUGGGUACGAGAAGUGUGCCACGCUGGGCGGCGAGCUCCCCGGGGAAAGGAGAGAAAAGCUUAAGGAAAGGCAUGGUUUGGAUAGACCCUCUGCCACAAAAAGUCCUUGGAAGUCUGAGGCUUCCCAGAAGUCUAGGCAGACAGAGCUCAAAGAUGCCUCCGACCAGGACCCUGAUAGGUGUUGGAGUGCUCGCUCGGUGGGAGGCGCAAGCCCUUCUGAAGUCAGUCCGGAGGA
rnacentral:lncRNA from 1 species